GUCGGGAUAGCUCAGCUGGUAGANCAAAGGACUGAAAAUCCUCGUUU
rnacentral:tRNA from 1 species